GGGUUGUGAGGUUAAGCGACUAAGCGUACACGGUGGAUGCCCUGGCAGUCAGAGGCGAUGAAGGACGUGCUAAUCUGCGAUAAGCGUCGGUAAGGUGAUAUGAACCGUUAUAACCGGCGAUUUCCGAAUGGGGAAACCCAGUGUGUUUCGACACACUAUCAUUAACUGAAUCCAUAGGUUAAUGAGGCGAACCGGGGGAACUGAAACAUCUAAGUACCCCGAGGAAAAGAAAUCAACCGAGAUUCCCCCAGUAGCGGCGAGCGAACGGGGAGCAGCCCAGAGCCUGAAUCAGUAUGUGUGUUAGUGGAAGCGUCUGGAAAGGCGCGCGAUACAGGGUGACAGCCCCGUACACAAAAAUGCACAUGCUGUGAGCUCGAUGAGUAGGGCGGGACACGUGGUAUCCUGUCUGAAUAUGGGGGGACCAUCCUCCAAGGCUAAAUACUCCUGACUGACCGAUAGUGAACCAGUACCGUGAGGGAAAGGCGAAAAGAACCCCGGCGAGGGGAGUGAAAAAGAACCUGAAACCGUGUACGUACAAGCAGUGGGAGCACGCUUAGGCGUGUGACUGCGUACCUUUUGUAUAAUGGGUCAGCGACUUAUAUUCUGUAGCAAGGUUAACCGAAUAGGGGAGCCGAAGGGAAACCGAGUCUUAACUGGGCGUUAAGUUGCAGGGUAUAGACCCGAAACCCGGUGAUCUAGCCAUGGGCAGGUUGAAGGUUGGGUAACACUAACUGGAGGACCGAACCGACUAAUGUUGAAAAAUUAGCGGAUGACUUGUGGCUGGGGGUGAAAGGCCAAUCAAACCGGGAGAUAGCUGGUUCUCCCCGAAAGCUAUUUAGGUAGCGCCUCGUGAAUUCAUCUCCGGGGGUAGAGCACUGUUUCGGCAAGGGGGUCAUCCCGACUUACCAACCCGAUGCAAACUGCGAAUACCGGAGAAUGUUAUCACGGGAGACACACGGCGGGUGCUAACGUCCGUCGUGAAGAGGGAAACAACCCAGACCGCCAGCUAAGGUCCCAAAGUCAUGGUUAAGUGGGAAACGAUGUGGGAAGGCCCAGACAGCCAGGAUGUUGGCUUAGAAGCAGCCAUCAUUUAAAGAAAGCGUAAUAGCUCACUGGUCGAGUCGGCCUGCGCGGAAGAUGUAACGGGGCUAAACCAUGCACCGAAGCUGCGGCAGCGACGCUUAUGCGUUGUUGGGUAGGGGAGCGUUCUGUAAGCCUGUGAAGGUGUGCUGUGAGGUAUGCUGGAGGUAUCAGAAGUGCGAAUGCUGACAUAAGUAACGAUAAAGCGGGUGAAAAGCCCGCUCGCCGGAAGACCAAGGGUUCCUGUCCAACGUUAAUCGGGGCAGGGUGAGUCGACCCCUAAGGCGAGGCCGAAAGGCGUAGUCGAUGGGAAACAGGUUAAUAUUCCUGUACUUGGUGUUACUGCGAAGGGGGGACGGAGAAGGCUAUGUUGGCCGGGCGACGGUUGUCCCGGUUUAAGCGUGUAGGCUGGUUUUCCAGGCAAAUCCGGAAAAUCAAGGCUGAGGCGUGAUGACGAGGCACUACGGUGCUGAAGCAACAAAUGCCCUGCUUCCAGGAAAAGCCUCUAAGCAUCAGGUAACAUCAAAUCGUACCCCAAACCGACACAGGUGGUCAGGUAGAGAAUACCAAGGCGCUUGAGAGAACUCGGGUGAAGGAACUAGGCAAAAUGGUGCCGUAACUUCGGGAGAAGGCACGCUGAUAUGUAGGUGAAGUCCCUUGCGGAUGGAGCUGAAAUCAGUCGAAGAUACCAGCUGGCUGCAACUGUUUAUUAAAAACACAGCACUGUGCAAACACGAAAGUGGACGUAUACGGUGUGACGCCUGCCCGGUGCCGGAAGGUUAAUUGAUGGGGUCAGCGCAAGCGAAGCUCUUGAUCGAAGCCCCGGUAAACGGCGGCCGUAACUAUAACGGUCCUAAGGUAGCGAAAUUCCUUGUCGGGUAAGUUCCGACCUGCACGAAUGGCGUAAUGAUGGCCAGGCUGUCUCCACCCGAGACUCAGUGAAAUUGAACUCGCUGUGAAGAUGCAGUGUACCCGCGGCAAGACGGAAAGACCCCGUGAACCUUUACUAUAGCUUGACACUGAACAUUGAGCCUUGAUGUGUAGGAUAGGUGGGAGGCUUUGAAGUGUGGACGCCAGUCUGCAUGGAGCCGACCUUGAAAUACCACCCUUUAAUGUUUGAUGUUCUAACGUUGACCCGUAAUCCGGGUUGCGGACAGUGUCUGGUGGGUAGUUUGACUGGGGCGGUCUCCUCCUAAAGAGUAACGGAGGAGCACGAAGGUUGGCUAAUCCUGGUCGGACAUCAGGAGGUUAGUGCAAUGGCAUAAGCCAGCUUGACUGCGAGCGUGACGGCGCGAGCAGGUGCGAAAGCAGGUCAUAGUGAUCCGGUGGUUCUGAAUGGAAGGGCCAUCGCUCAACGGAUAAAAGGUACUCCGGGGAUAACAGGCUGAUACCGCCCAAGAGUUCAUAUCGACGGCGGUGUUUGGCACCUCGAUGUCGGCUCAUCACAUCCUGGGGCUGAAGUAGGUCCCAAGGGUAUGGCUGUUCGCCAUUUAAAGUGGUACGCGAGCUGGGUUUAGAACGUCGUGAGACAGUUCGGUCCCUAUCUGCCGUGGGCGCUGGAGAACUGAGGGGGGCUGCUCCUAGUACGAGAGGACCGGAGUGGACGCAUCACUGGUGUUCGGGUUGUCAUGCCAAUGGCACUGCCCGGUAGCUAAAUGCGGAAGAGAUAAGUGCUGAAAGCAUCUAAGCACGAAACUUGCCCCGAGAUGAGUUCUCCCUGACCCUUUAAGGGUCCUGAAGGAACGUUGAAGACGACGACGUUGAUAGGCCGGGUGUGUAAGCGCAGCGAUGCGUUGAGCUAACCGGUACUAAUGAACCGUGAGGCUUAACCUUACAACGCCGAAGGUGUUU
rnacentral:rRNA from 1 species